AGAGUUUGAUCAUGGCUCAGAACGAACGCUGGCGGCGUGCUUAACACAUGCAAGUCGAGUGCGCGGUUGUAGCAAUACAACUGGCGCACGGCGCACGGGUGCGUAACACGUGGGCAAUCUGCCCUCCGAUGGGGAAUAACCCCGCGAAAGCGGGGCUAAUACCGCAUAACAUUCCUUGGACUUCGGUUCGAGGAUUCAAAGCCGUAAGGCGUCGGAGGUGGAGCCCGCGCACGAUUAGCUAGUUGGCAGGGUAACGGCCUACCAAGGCUUUGAUCGUUAGCUGGUCUGAGAGGAUGGCCAGCCACACUGGAACUGAGACACGGUCCAGACUCCUACGGGAGGCAGCAGUGGGGAAUCUUGCGCAAUGGGCGAAAGCCUGACGCAGCGACGCCGCGUGGGGGAUGAAGCUUCUCGGAGUGUAAACCCCUUUCGACUGGGACGAAUACCUCGCAAGAGGGGUGACGGUACCAGUAGAAGAAGCCCCGGCUAACUACGUGCCAGCAGCCGCGGUAAGACGUAGGGGGCCAGCGUUGUUCGGAAUUACUGGGUGUAAAGGGUUCGUAGGCGGUGUAGCAAGUCGGGAGUGAAAUCUCUGGGCUUAACCCAGAGACUGCUUCCGAAACUGCUGUGCUUGAGUGUGGGAGAGGCGCGUGGAAUUGCAGGUGUAGCGGUGAAAUGCGUAGAUAUCUGCAGGAACACCCGUGGCGAAAGCGGCGCGCUGGACCACUACUGACGCUGAGGAACGAAAGCUAGGGGAGCAAACAGGAUUAGAUACCCUAGUAGUCC
rnacentral:rRNA from 1 species